rnacentral:misc_RNA from 1 species
UUGUGGAGGAGGACGCCGAAGGUGGGGCUAAUGACUGGGGUGAAGUCGUAACAAGGUAGCCGUACCGGAAGGUGCGGCUGGAUCACCUCCUAACAGGGAGACAACAAAAUGUUUAAUAUUAUUAUUUUGUCACCUUAGGUCGAUCGGUAUCUCACGUUCUUAAACUAAUUAAGAAUUUCAAUUCCUAAGUUUUUCUAGGUCACACCCAUUAUUUUUCCUGGGCCAUUAGCUCAGGUGGUUAGAGCGCACCCCUGAUAAGGGUGAGGUCCCUGGUUCAAGUCCAGGAUGGCCCAUAUCUCUAUGUUGGGGGUAUAGCUCAGUUGGUAGAGCGCCUGCUUUGCAAGCAGGAUGUCAGCGGUUCGAGUCCGCUUACCUCCACUGAUUACCACCUCUUCCAUAAUUUGUAGAAAGGAAAUUUUUUGAGUUGUGAUCAACUUCUGAACGAAUCUAGCUUCCUAAUGAAAGCAUUAAGAUGCUGGACUCAUUGAAUUAAUUUCAUUGUUUUCAGAGAACCUUGACAACUGCAUAGAUUAUUUUUAAAGACAAUAAGCAUCUUUAAUGAUGCAGAUUUAUUAUUUGUGCGAAUGCAUUAAUAACAAUUCUAUUAAGCUGAUGCUUCAAUUUUGAAGUUAUUGGUCAAGCUACAA